rnacentral:rRNA from 1 species
UACGUAGGGUGCGAGCGUUAAUCGGAAUUACUGGGCGUAAAGCGUGCGCAGGCGGUUCGUUGUGUCUGCUGUGAAAUCCCCGGGCUCAACCUGGGAAUGCCGGUGGAUACUGUCGGGCUAGAGUGCGGAAGAGGCGAGUGGAAUUCCUGGUGUAGCGGUGAAAUGCGCAGAUAUCAGGAGGAACACCAAUUGCGAAGGCAGCUCGCUGGGACGUUACUGACGCUGAGACGCGAAAGCGUGGGGAGCAAACAGG